GACGAACGCUGGCGGCGUGCUUAACACAUGCAAGUCGAACGGAAAGGCCCUGCUUUUGUGGGGUGCUCGAGUGGCGAACGGGUGAGUAACACGUAAGUAACCUGCCCUUGACUUUGGGAUAACUUCUGGAAACUGGGGCUAAUACCGGAUAGGAGCUCCUGCUGCAUGGUGGGGGUUGGAAAGUUUCGGCGGUUGGGGAUGGACUCGCGGCUUAUCAGCUUGUUGGUGGGGUAGUGGCUUACCAAGGCUUUGACGGGUAGCCGGCCUGAGAGGGUGACCGGCCACAUUGGGACUGAGAUACGGCCCAGACUCCUACGGGAGGCAGCAGUGGGGAAUAUUGCACAAUGGGCGGAAGCCUGAUGCAGCAACGCCGCGUGCGGGAUGACGGCCUUCGGGUUGUAAACCGCUUUCGCCUGUGACGAAGCGUGAGUGACGGUAAUGGGUAAAGAAGCACCGGCUAACUACGUG
rnacentral:rRNA from 1 species